rnacentral:rRNA from 1 species
ACCUGGCAGCCAGUGAUGGGCUGUCCAGGGGUGUUGCGUUCUGGUGCGUCCUUGCUGCCCCGCCUGCUUACCGCCUAAGUCAUUGCUUGAAAGCAGCCCCGAGGAGGGUGAUAGGCCCGUGUGGCGGCGCCUGUAAAAAGGGUGAAGGCAGACGGGGUGGGCGGACGUCCACCGUAGAGUCGGGUUGCUUAGUAGUGCAGCCCUAAGUAGGUGGUAAACUCCAUCUAAGGCUAAAUAUGACCACGAGUCCGAUAGAGAACAAGUACCGUGAGGGAAAGCUGAAAAGGACUUUGAAGAGAGAGUUCAAGAGGACGUGAAACCGUUAGAAGCUCAAACGGGUGGAACCGCGAAGGUUGAAUGAGGGGAUUCAGCUCUCCGGUGCUCAGGGUGCAGUGGGCGGCGGGCCGGAGGCGUGCCUUCGGCGUUCAUGCGACCCGGCAGUUAAAGUCUGAUCUGCCCGGGCUCCGCCCCAGCCUCUGGGUUGCCGGUGGGCUUACUUCUCCCUCAGUCUCAAUUGCCGCGACCCGUUCUGGGGAGCCCCAGGGCCGUGCCGGACCUGGUAACUCUGGC